rnacentral:rRNA from 1 species
UACAGAGGUGGCAAGCGUUGUUCGGAAUUACUGGGCGUAAAGGGUUCGUAGGUGGCCAACUAAGUCAUACGUGAAAUCCCUCAGCUUAACUGGGGAACUGCGUCUGAUACUGGUUGGCUUGAGUGCAGGAGAGGAACGCGGAAUUCCAGGUGUAGCGGUGAAAUGCGUAGAUAUCCGGAGGAACACCGGUGGCGAAGGCGGCUUCCUGGACCGAUACUGACGCUGAGGCGCGAAAGCUAGGGGAGCAAACGGG